UGGGGAAUAUUGGACAAUGGGGGAAACCCUGAUCCAGCAAUGCCGCGUGGGUGAAGAAGGCCUUCGGGUUGUAAAGCCCUUUAGGCGGGGAAGAAGGUUAUAGGGUGAUAAGCCUUAUAGCUUGACGGUACCCGCAGAAUAAGCACCGGCUAACUCUGUGCCAGCAGCCGCGGUAAUACAGAGGGUGCAAGCGUUAAUCGGAUUUACUGGGCGUAAAGGGCGCGUAGGUGGUAAGGCAAGUAAGAUGUGAAAGCCCUGGGCUUAACCUGGGAAGUGCAUCUUAAACUGCCUAACUAGAGUAUGGUAGAGGGUAGUGGAAUUUCCGGUGUAGCGGUGAAAUGCGUAGAGAUCGGAAGGAACGCCAGUGGUGAAGACGACUACCUGGACCAAUACUGACACUGAGGCGCGAAAGCGUGGGGAUCAAACAGG
rnacentral:rRNA from 1 species